rnacentral:rRNA from 1 species
GACGAACGCUGGCGGCGUGCUUAACACAUGCAAGUCGAACGGUAAGGCCCUUCGGGGUACACGAGUGGCGAACGGGUGAGUAACACGUGGGUGAUCUGCCCUGCACUUCGGGAUAAGCCUGGGAAACUGGGUCUAAUACCGGAUAGGACCACUGCCUGCAUGGGUGGUGGUGGAAAGCUUUUGCGGUGUGGGAUGGGCCCGCGGCCUAUCAGCUUGUUGGGGGGGUGAUGGCCUACCAAGGCGACGACGGGUAGCCGGCCUGGGAGGGGGACCGGCCACCCUGGGACUGAGAUACGGCCCAGACUCCUGCGGGAGGCAGCAGUGGGGAAUAGUGCACAAUGGGCGCAAGCCUGAUGCAGCGACGCCGCGUGAGGGAUGACGGCCUUCGGGUUGUAAACCUCUUUCAGUAGGGACGAAGCGCAAGUGACGGUACCUACAGAAGAAGGACCGGCCAACUACGUGCCAGCCGCCGCCGUAA